rnacentral:tRNA from 1 species
GGCCUCGUAGUACAAUGGAUAGUACAGAAGUUUCCGGAACUUCUGAUCCAGGUUCGAUUCCUGGCGAGGUCA